GAGGCCUUAGCUUAAUUAAAGCAUCUGUUUUGCAUGCAGAAGAUGUGAGGUAGUGUCUUGCAGGCCUUA
rnacentral:tRNA from 1 species